GGUGGCGCAACGGGUCUGGGCACCUGGCUGUUAACCAGAAGGUUGGUGGUUCAAGCCCACCCAGAGACU